AUUCCUUCAUUACAUGUUAAACAAGUCAUUAUGUGUUAUUUCACACACAGUGCCUGUUUAAUCCUGAAUCCUAUACACAAAUACGUUUUCUUGUGAUCUCUCAAAGUAAUGAUCUCCUGUUUUCUUUCCAGAAUGGAGUCAAUACAAGAAGAGGCAGCUCACUAACACCUAGCAGGUUCUUGGCUUGGUUGACAGAGAUGAUAAUCAGUGCAAGGGCUUAAAUGGCAGGUUUUUUUUAAAAAAAAUCUGAUUUAAGGUAACUGUAAUAGCAAGAGCUGGAAAGUAUUUAUUUUAUUAUUAAUUGCAUAACCACCACCUUUUAUGUUUACAGUGUCCUUACUGCUUUCACGAAACACUGGCAAUGUACUCUUCUUCCAGUAUAUACUACUGUUAUAGGGUAUCCAGCCAAAUUGCAUGAUAAAAUCUGUCUGUGACUUACAACUAGCCAUUCUGAGAGCUUGGAAGAAAAGGUCUCUCUGUUUGUCCUUGUUACUGGCCAAAUUAAGUCAGUAAUUAUGACUUGGAUGCUGAAUGUUAUUAGGUUCUACUGUGCUAGCUAGAGGGAAAGCAAAACAUCUAAAACUUUCAGGGCAUUAUAAAAAUAUAAGAUCCGCAGUUAUAAUUAGGAAAGCCUUAUGUUAAGCUUUCUAAAUAUUGCUAGAGGGUAUAGUUUUAUAUUUGAAAGGUAACAUAAAUCAGUGCAAGCAUUACUUAACAUUUCUAUAUUCAAUUGUUGAAUUGCUGGACCUCUAUUUUAUUUACAGAUAGUCCUUGACUUAUGACCAAUUGCAUAGCAACCAUUUCCAGUUAUAACAGACACCCCAAAAGCCACUUACAACCAGUGGUAGGAUUCAGCCAGUUCGCACCACUUCAGGAGAACCGGUUGUUAACUUUCUGAGCAGUUUGGCAAACUGGCUGUUGGAAGAAAUCAUUGGGGCAGAGAACCGGUUGUUAAAUUACUUGAACCCCAUCACUGCUUACAACCUGGAUUCGAAGUUCCAUUUUGGAGAAGUUCAAGUCUGCAUUUAUGGACGCUCAGAAACUACCCCACAUUUAUGGCCCUUUGCAGAGCCCUGCAGUCCUGUGAUCAUGAUUUACAAUGUUUACUUACAGUUUCUGGCAAAAAAAAAAAAAAGCCCCAUAGUGAACAAUGGGUUUGCUUAAUGACUGUGGUAGUCUCUUAGUAAUUGUAACAUUUGCUUAACGACCAACACAGAAAAGGUGGUAAAAUCGGGUCUGGCUAAUGACGACUGACCUAGUUUACAACUGUCACAACCUAUGAUCAAAAUUGUGGGCUCAAUUACAGUGGUAAGUCUAGGACCAUGAUGGCGAACCUAUGGCAUGCGUGCCAGAGGUGGCACACAAGCCCUCUCUGUGGGCACGCGUGCCGUCACCAGCUGCUCUUCUGGUUUUCGGCAUGCCAGCUGGUCUUCGUGGGCACUGGAGCACUGGAAAAUGGCUUGAAAAUGGCCCCCAAAAUGCCCCCAAACCCAGGCCAUUUUCCAGGCUGUUUUCCGGGCCUUUUCCAGGCCGUUUUUGGCCCCGAAAAUGUCCGAAAAAUGGCCUGAAAAUGGCCCCAAAAUGGCCAAAACCCAAGCCAUUUUCUGGGCUCUUUUCCAGGCCUUUUCCAAGCAGUUUUUGGCUCUGAAAAUGUUUGAAAAGCAGCCUGAAAAUGGCCCAAAAAGUGACCCAGAAAACGGCCAAAAAACAGGCAUGCGUAUGCCAGCCAGCUGAUCAUUGGGUUUCCAGCACUCCGGCACACACAUAUGCAUGUGCAUGCACACACAGUCUGGUUUGGACACUUGGUGCCGAAAAAGUUCGCCAUCACUGGUCUAGGACUUACCUGUAUUUGAAAAGUUGAUAUGUUGCCUACUACUUUUAUGGCCUCCAAACUAAGAUAAUAAAAUAGUCAUUAAAAAGUAUUCAAAGAUAUAAUGAAUAAAAAUAUAAAAACUGAAACAUAAGCCAAAAAAAUCUAAGCCUAUAGGACAGACUGCUUUAAUUCCAGUGGCAGUUUGUUUCAUAGCAUGAGUUGGGCAGUGGGAAAAUAAACUCAAAUUCAAUUUGAAUGUUAAAAGCAUCCAUGAUGGGACCACAAAAGAACUGUCCCAUUUAUGAACCAAGAGUAGGGGAAGGAGUAUACAGGCGGCAAUUGAAUCUUAGCCAUGUAAGGCUUUAAACACAUUGAUGUGAGGUGGGAAAGCCAUCCAUGAAUGUGUUUUAGUACCAGGAUAAUGAGAAAUAUCAGUCACUGCCUGUAAUUUGGCAUCUUGGGUCUACUGGCAUUUUCAGAUUAUUUUCAAAGGCUGUUCCAUAAAGACUACAGUACAUUGCAAUAAUUGAAACUUUAGCUUACCAGCUCAUGAAUCACCAAAGCAUAAAGUCAAAGCCUAUAAAAAGUUGCCUUACCAUCAGUGAUACAUAGUUGUCCAACAUCAGUGCUAAAUCCAAGAAGAUCAAAACAUUAUUUGUGCCUCUAGCCCUGAGUAGUGUGUUUCAGAGUAGGAUUCAGGGAUAUGCAAUGUCUCUUUUUAUUUCAAGCAAUCUUUUCAGAUACUAGAUUUUUUUUUAAGUAUAAAGGUAAAGGUUCCCUUCGCACAUAUGUGCUAGUCGUUCCCGACUCUAGGGGGCGGUGCUCAUCUCCGUUUCAAAGCCAAAGAGCCAGCGCUGUCCAAAGACGUCGCCGUAGUCUUGUGGCCAGCAUGACUAAACGCCAAAGGUGCACGGAAUGCUGUUACCUUCCCACCAAAGGUGGUCCCUGUUUUUCUACUUGCAUUUUUUACGUGCUUUCAAACUGCUAGGUUGGCAGAAGCUGGGGCAAGUAACGGGAACUCACCCCGUUACGCGGCACUAGGGAUUCGAACCGCUGAACUGCCGACCUUUCGAUCGACAAGCUCAGCAUCUUAGCCACUGAGCCAUCGCAUCUCCCCCCCCUUUUUUUAAUAUAUUGGAGAUUUAUUGAAAAUACUUAUAUGGCUGCCCAUCUUAAGAGAUACAACCCUGGGUGGCUCCCAACAACAGUACUCCCCCCACCCCAAAAAAAAACCCUGGGAAGAAAAACAAUAAAAAAAAAGGACAAGCAAAAACCUGGAGUUUCAGCCUCUGAUGCAUUCAACAUCACCACAUCUGGCUCCUCCCUCACCCUAUGCCAGUGUUUUGGGAGAAGAGAUAGCUCUUUUGGCCUUAUGGAAAGAGUAGGGUUUGCCCAAUAUGGGGCAGGAUGUUCCACAGGGCAAGAGCUGCUACAGAAAAGACACACUUCCUAGGUUCCACACUAGAUGGCAGUAUUUAAAGGAAGAGACUGAAUCCUUUGAUCAACAUAUUGCUAAUAAAUGUGGAAACUAGUAAAGUGAUCAGGCAGGAGCUGUACCUGCAGUUCUCUCCCCUAAAGGGAGUUGUCCAUUAUGAACCCAUGAAUGACAGUGCAUUGAUACAAUAAAGAAAGAGAAGUAUAAUCUUCUACCAUUUCCAUGUUGUGGGCUCAAACAUGAGCUUUUACCCAUAUUUGUACCCUUGCCUGGACAACUUCAUUUUCCUCCACUAGCCCAGCAAAUAUCACUUUGUGAUCAGGGAGCCAUCCUAGAUCAGCCAACUGAUUAGUUUAAGGAGAAUAAUGUCAAGCGUCUAUUGCUUCUUGUUCCCAGUGAGCAACUAGACCAGGGGUCAGCAAUCUGCAGCUCUGGAGCCGCAUGUGGCUCUUUCAUCCCUCAGCUGCGGCUCCCUGUCACUCAAAAUAUAUGUUACAACCGCCAAUGUGCAAUACCUGCUGGCAUGCGAUUCAUUGAGCUUUUCGACCCCCAUAGGCCAACAAUGGAUAAAUCCAAGAAAAGAAAAGUUUCAGAAGAAAACAGAAUGUUUAAUACAGCUACAUAUGCUAGUUUUGUGGUUGCUCAGGAAAUAGUCAGCACAGGAAGGGUUUUGUGGCUCCCGGUAUUUUGUUUUCUGUUGGAAACAGGUCCAAAUGGCUCUUUGAGUGUUUAUGGUUGCUGACCCCUCAACUAGACAGAAGUGCUUGUUGGAUAACGAUGAAAUUCCCUAAGCACUCCCCAGAAUCCCCAAUAGAGAAAACACUAAUUGUGCAGUCCUUGUCAGAUGUCUUAAUAAUUAAAAAGUAUAUACAAAUAACAAACCAAGAGAGUAACUUGGAUAAUUUUCCUAUAUUGGAUGGACAAGAGGCUUGUUAGAGUUUUGAAGAUUUUUUUGAGAAAUGAAAUCAAGUUCUACAAUGUUAUUUGAAGGGAUUAAAGAUUAAGAUUGUUAGAAAAAAAGGAAGGAACAUAAAGCUGGUUUAUUGGAUCAAGGUUAAAACAGGAAACACUGGUAACUCUUAGUAGAUUUUUGCAGAUAUCAGAACAGAAAUUUCAUGGAUUUGUUACAUAUAAGAGAUGAGAUAUGGGAAAAAGAGAUCAUUUGUUGCAUUUUAAGGGAAGAUAAUAAGUUACUAAAACUGUUUACGCUUGUGAUGUAGGGUGAGGUCACUUUUCUUUUUCUUUAUUAUAUUAUAUUUAUUAUAUUUUUCUUCAUUAUUUAUCUACUUUUCGCUUUUCUUUUUUGUUUUAUUCACCUUUUACAUUUUAUUUUUGUUUUAGUUUGCAUUAGUUUAUAUUGUUGUAAUUGUAAUCUUUAAUAAAAGUACUAUUUAAAAAAACCCAACAUUAUUCAGACCGGCACAAAUCCACUGCAGCCGCCUGGAACACCAGAAAAAGGAAACAAAUUGCCAAUACAACAUAGUCCAACAAAAUAGAUACCCAUGAAACUUUAUCAAGAAGUUCCUGUUCACUCAGUCCACUAUAGCACAACCAGUACAAACUAUGAAAAGGAUAACAUCAACGAUCAUCAGUUUGAAACAAUUAACAGUACAACUUACAACUACACUAAAUCACCAUAGCACACAAAACAACUAAAGCCCUCUAAAACAUCUUAAGCAAGCCAAAAACCCAGCAGCCCAAGAAGGAAAAAAAGAGAAGUCAUCUACAAUAUAUAGUGUAAGGACUGUAACAAUCACUAUGUAGGACAGACAUGCAAAUGGCAAGAAGAAUGCAUCCACAAUCAUCAACUACAGUCAGAAGACAUGAUGAAAACUCUUCAAUCUCACAACACACAAACAGACUCAACCAACGUUUCAACUGGGUUAGACCAAGAAAAUCCCAAACUGCUAGGAUUGAAAUUCACUGAAGCUUGAAAUUCACACAAAAGAACCACUAACAGACCUAGAGAGAUAAACCAUAUUUACACAUCAUUCACCAGAGGGGGAAAAAAAAUCUAAGAAGGAAAGAGAAAGACCAGAACACAUCUUCUCCAGCAGCCAACACCACAACAAACAGGUAUUAACAUCAGCAAACAAUCAAGCAAAAAGCAAUACUCAAAGCAAAGAACUACCAAGGAGAAAAUCAUUCCACUAUCAAAACUGGCAGGGCAAGCUAAUAUAAACAGGAAGUUAAAUCCCACACUCACUAGCACUGAUAAUAUCACAUGGUUGGCUAAUGAAAUAUCUGCAAACAAUCAAUCUUAGACAACACCAAGGAUUCCAAAUUUCGAGUCUGAACUAUGUACACUAUCUUAUAUUGAACUGGAAUUGGCCUGUUUACCACCUGAGAUCAUUGGUGAUAAUUAAUCUUACCUAGAUUAGAAAGUGAUCCAGACUGUCUCCAUAUCAAGAUAAUUAUACAAUAGCUCAAGCUGCCUUCAUGUGUUAGACCAAUAUCUACUUUUGAUACUUUACUAUAGAAACUACAAACUCCUGAAGCACCAUCAUGAUCCAAUCUCCAAAGCAUGAAGAUUCAAAUCAAGCAGAAAUAAUAUUUAAAAGACUCCAAAGCCAGUCCAGAGAACAGAUCAUACUAUAUGUGUAGAGAUCUUGCUGAGAGGGUAUGGAAGACACUGAUGGUGAAUAGAUAAACAGAAGAAUCCAAGCCAAAAUAUAUGAGACUACAUUGAAAGUA